UGGGACGUGGUGUAUCGCACACCGCUGCAUUGAAUAAGUGGUGCUCAUGACAUGUAACCGCAGCAGGCCGGGGUUCGACUCCCCGCGUCCCGA